GAUAACACUUAGAAAUAGGUGCUAAUACCGCAUAACAACAGAAAGCGCAUGCUUUUUGUUUGAAAACCAAGGUGGUAUGGGAUGGACCCGCGUCUGAUUAGCUGGUUGGCGGGGUAAAGGCCCACCAAGGCGACGAUCAGUAGCCGGCCUGAGAGGGUGGACGGCCACAUUGGGACUGAGACACGGCCCAAACUCCUACGGGAGGCAGCAGUGGGGAAUAUUGCACAAUGGGGGAAACCCUGAUGCAGCGACGCCGCGUGAGUGAAGAAGUAAUUCGUUAUGUAAAGCUCUAUCAGCAGGGAAGAAAAUGACGGUACCUGAGUAAGAAGCCCCGGCUAACUACGUGCCAGCAGCCGCGGUAAUACGUAGGGGGCAAGCGUUAUCCGGAUUUACUGGGUGUAAAGGGAGCGUAGACGGCAGUGCAAGUCUGGAGUGAAAGGCGGGGGCUCAACCCCCGGACUGCUCUGGAAACUGUACGGCUGGAGUGCAGGAGAGGUAAGUGGAAUUCCUAGUGUAGCGGUGAAAUGCGUAGAUAUUAGGAGGAACACCAGUGGCGAAGGCGGCUUACUGGACUGUAACUGACGUUGAGGCUCGAAAGCGUGGGGAGCAAACAGGAUUAGAUACCCUGGUAGUCCACGCCGUAAACGAUGAUCACUAGGUGU
rnacentral:rRNA from 1 species